CCGCACCCGGCCGAGCUUCCUCGCGGGACUCGCUGGCUCCGCGGGCCGGGCGGCGGACGGACGGACGAGCGAGGCCGACGGCGCCCCAGCCCUGCCUCGGCGGAGACCCCGGCUCGGGGCGAGGGACGGGUGUCAGGCGGGCGGCGGAGCUUCCCACGCGGCCCGGGAGGACGCGGCCUGCGGGGCGGGGCGGGCACUGAGCCUCCAGCCGCGUCUCUCUGCCGCACUGCGGAGCUGCCGUCCAGCAGCAAGCGCAUCUGCUUUUCUCUGACUAGGAGAGAACAUCUGGCUUAAGCCAUCAUGAAGCUGAGUUGCCCCCCGACUUUCCCUCAGUAUAAGCACCUGAAAUCCGCGAUGCUUGCCUUCCCUGCAGUGCCCGUGAGGAAGCCAAAGCCACCUCCCAGCUCGGGGUCUAAACAUUGCUCUGCUUCCACCCCCACCUGCCCAGUAUCUGUUGUCCCGGUUCCAGCCAGGGAUAUUUUUAAAUGUGAAUUUGAUCUUGUGUCUCCUCGACCAAAGCCUUCCUGGGGCUUCCCUUUGCCCCUGAAUGCAGUGACUUUCUUGUGGACCACACUGUCUCAUUUAGUCUGACCACUCUCAUCCCUUAGCCACUUCCUGGCAAGCUGCCCUGGCUCUGUUAGUUCAGAUUCACCAAGCCACACCUGCCUCUGUGCCUUCACACUUACAACUUUCCCAAAACUUCGAGUAAUUCUCCAAGCAGUCUUCUUGCCUUAGUGUCCCCAUGUCGCCAAGUCUCUACGACAGGGGACAGUGGCACGUCACAUGGCAGAGCCCUUCCCCAGACACCCUGCAUAACAGGAGUGCUUCCCAGGAGCAGGGCCCACACCCAUUUGAUUGCUUUCAGAGCACUCACCGCCUGCCUUGCAUUUGUUUACCCAACUGACAGCUUGCACCCUAACGCAGAUGCAAGCCCCACAGCACAGGGCGUGUUGUCAUGUCCACUGCUGUCACACCAGGACAUGGGAUGUCUGCAGUGGGCCAGGUACCUGACAAGUGACUGUUGGAUGAACUGGCUCCUCACAUGCUAUCAGUCCGUCACACUGUUAGGCCAAGCCAAGACCCCAGAUGUAAACAGCACCUGAGGAAACACCAGGAGAAAGGUGUGGAAUGUGCUCCCCUCAGCGGUGGCAGCCCCAACACUGGGAACAGCCCACAUGCCCCUGGUGUUGAACAAGAAUGCUCUUCAGUGGAGGGUAGGGAAGUCCCACUGUGCUUUUUUCCUGCACUACCAGAAUAUUAAAGCACGUGAAAAGUA